UAAAAGGAGUGAAUUUCUGGUUUUGAGUAAUGAAAGCAAUUUAAUGUGUAGUGAAAUUGCAGCAAAAUAAAACAACACUUUACCUUUCAGCAACGUCUCCUUGAAGCUUACUCCAGUACUGGCGGAAUAUUCACAGCCUAAAAUAUUCAUACAACCCCAGCGGGUAUACAAUUGGAGCUCUGGAUAUAUUCCUUCUAGAUUUUUUACCCACGACUUUUAUUAUCCAGUGCUCUUCAGUGAUCCCAAGUGUUUGAUUACAGGAUUCAUUGGAGGCAAAGGCCAGGCCUUUUGUAUGCUGUGGGUGAUGGAAGAAGCUAUGGACAGGCCUCUGCGUCAUUGCAGCUUUACACUUCUUACCAUGUGUGGCAAGCCAAUAUUUAAUGCUUACGCUUAUGACACCAGAGAAAAAGCUUGCGGAUUCCGUCGUAGAAGGAAACAAGCCGUAUUAAAAGGAGUAUAAUUUUUUGCUGUUUAUUAUUUGGCAGCACAAGGUCUUGUAAAAGAAAUUGACAAACUUUAAGUGGAAGAGAUUUUCGGCGCAUAGGCUAGAAAACUUUGGGGUAGCUUGAAAGCGUAUUACUAGCAAGUAAGUUUUAAAAUUGUGCGACAAUAAGCUUGCCAGCUUUGUGCUGGGUGAAUAUAAACAUUCCAUGGCACCACACGUCCCAUAGCAUGGAAUAAAGAAAAAAUUGUCAGCCCUUCCACUGGGGUGGAGAUGGAAGACCAGCGAAGCUGUACUACGGUGGGAAUUAUGUGUUUUCAAUUAUGACUAUUAAGA